rnacentral:rRNA from 1 species
ACAAGCGGUGGAGCAUGUGGUUUAAUUCGACGCAACGCGAAGAACCUUACCAGGGCUUGACAUCCCCUGACCGCGUAUGAAAGUACGUUUUCACCCUCGGGUGACAGGGAGACAGGUGGUGCAUGGUUGUCGUCAGCUCGUGUCGUGAGAUGUUGGGUUAAGUCCCGCAACGAGCGCAACCCUUGUCAUUAGUUGCUACAUUUAGUUGGGGCACUCUAAUGAGACUGCCGGUGUCAAACCGGAGGAAGGUGGGGAUGACGUCAAGUCCUCAUGGCCCUUAUGUCCAGGGCUACACACGUGCUACGAUGGCCGGUACAAAGGGGCGCAAGACCGCGAGGUGGAGCAAAUCCCAAAAAACCGGUCUCAGUUCGGAUUGGAGUCUGCAACUCGACUCCAUGAAGUUGGAAUCGCUAGUAAUCGCAGGUCAGCAUACUGCGGUGAAUACGUUCCCGGGCCUU